UACGAAGGGGGGCUAGCGUUGCUCGGAAUCACUGGGCGUAAAGGGUGCGUAGGCGGGUCUUUUAAGUCAGGGGUGAAAUCCUGGAGCUCAACUCCAGAACUGCCUUUGAUACUGGCAGUCUCGAGUGCGGGAGAGGUGAGUGGAAUUCCCAGUGUAGAGGCGAAAUUCGUAGAUAUUGGGAAGAACACCAGUGGCGAAGGCGGCUCACUGGCCCGUAACUGACGCUGAGGUGCGAAAGCGUGGGGAGCAAACAGG
rnacentral:rRNA from 1 species